UACGUAGGUGACCAGCGUUGUCCGGAUUUACUGGGCGUAAAGAGCGCGCAGGCGGUCGUUCAAGUCGAGUGUGAAAGCCCCCGGCUCAACUGGGGAGGGUCACUCGAUACUGAUCGACUUGAAGGCAGGAGAGGGAAGCGGAAUUCCCGGUGUAGUGGUGAAAUGCGUAGAUAUCGGGAGGAACACCGGUGGCGAAGGCGGGUCUCUGGGCCGAUACUGACGCUGAGGAGCGAAAGCGUGGGGAGCAAACAGG
rnacentral:rRNA from 1 species